ensembl:lncRNA
CUAAAAUGAAAACCUAGAAUCGCCCCUGCUCUAUAUCAUAUUAUAUGAGUCAUUAAAGACUAAUGUGUCAAAUAUGAUACAGUACAAAAACACACAACAGAUCUUUAACUCUCAUCUUGUGUGGUCCAGGCCGGGUUACGCACACUACAGGAUCUGGCCCCAGAGAUGCGUCUGGCUAUUGCGAUGGAGGAUGAGGAAGGGCUGGAGGGGGAGAUGAUGGAAGAAGAGGAGUUCUUCAGGAGUGACAGCGUCUUCAGUGAUGCUCCUCCCACACCAGCCAUGUCCACUCCCAGAAGCACCCCCAUGCCACCCCAUCUGGACGAGACCACAGUGAGCAUUGAGCUUCCACCUAGAGUACCCAGUGGGAGCUUUAUGCUGCAGGAGGCUCUGGUGGACUCCCGCCCGGCCUCUGCCCUGUCCGAAAACACAGUGAUAAGUGAACAGCCUCAGAGGUUGUCUCCCCUGCCCAGCAGGUGGGCCUCCAGUCACAGCAAACUCACCCCAUUGUGGAUACUGAAUAACAACCAAAGGCAAGGAGCACACUAAGAUAAGAGACAAAAGAAUAGAAAUAUACCUGCAUAAAUAGAGGCCAAUGCAGCAAUGCAGAAUUAGAGAAUUUAACACUAAUGGCUUGAUUUGCUCAGUCUGGAGGUCUGAAAGCUGUUUGAGCGAUUUUGACUGAAGGAUGUAUUAUUUGGUCAGAUUUUAAUUAAUGACAAAACCUAAAAGUGUUUUUAUCUCUUGUAGUUGGGCUGUAAUUUGAUAACUGUCAGUUAACAAAUCACUUUACAGCUUUGAGACACUCCAGAAAGAUUUUCACUGCAGUUUAACAUGAACAUAUGCUAAGCAUUUUGAAUUCUGGGGAGUUGUGAUGCUUGCCAAGCUUGACAGACAUGCUAUGUAGAUGCCGUGUACUCUAAACUGGGAGUAUGGCAGGGUUUUCAACCUUCACACACUCAGGAACCUCUCAGCCAACCCCAGGGUCACCAGUUUAACUAUCUGAAUGUUCUCAGUAAUAAUUUCUAGUAACUUUCAUCAAGAACAUUAACUAACAUCACUGCAUUAUAAUCAUUAUCAAUAUUUACAAAUUAGUUAAUAGUUUAAAACACAUGACCCCCCUGCAGUACUUUACAGGGACCCCUGGUUGAAAACUCUGGCACUGACAAACAGGUGAAAACUUAAAGUGAUAGUUCACUCCACAAAAAAAAAAAAAAAAAUACUGUCAUCAUUACUCACCUUCAUGUUCAUCCAAACCAGCAUGUUACUUUCUACAUAUAAGAUAUUUUGGGAAAGAAGAUAUUUAGAAAAAACUGUUUGGUUUUUUAUUAAAUUAUUAUUAUUAUUAUUUUAAUACAGCACAACUGGUUAAUAAUGAAUAAUAACAGGGUUUCUGUGGGUCUUUUAGGCCAUAAAAAGUCUUAAAUGGUACAAGAAAGUCUUAAUUAUGACGUCAAGAGCUCUUAAAUUUGGGGACGGAAAGACAAGAAUUGCGAUAUGGAUGAAUGUGAAUAUUGAACUUCAAAAGGCUAUGAUUUCAUUAAAUAAACGUGAGUGCUGCAUGUUUCAGAGUCAGGCGCUGCACUGCUUUGUUUCAUUUGAUAGAUAAUAAUUGUUUAAAUUAAUAUGGUAUUCAUUUUAUUUGUGCAGGUCUUAAAAAGUCUUAAAAAGUCUUGAAUUUGAGCUUAAAAAUCCUACACAUACCCUGAAUAAGAAAUGUUUCUUGAGCAGCAAAUCAGCAUAAUUUCUGAAGGAUAAUGUGAUACUGAAGACUGGAGUUAUGAUGAAAAUUCAGCUUUGCUUCACAGGAAUGAAUUACAUUAAAAAAAUAUAUAUAUUCAAAUANCUCAAAAACAUUAAAAAGACUUACCGACCCCAAACUUUUGAAAGAUAUUUUGUAAAUCCUAUGAACAAGUUUUGGAAUGACAUUAGGUAUUAGUAAAUGAUGACAGAACUUUCAUUUAUGGGUGAACUGUCCCUUUAAGGCCUAUUCACACCAAGAGCAAAGCACUGAAGUGACAAUAAAACUGAUAUGUGUUCAUUUUUAUGGGAUGGCAUAAUGGAAGUAAAACACACCCGAUUUUUCAAUAAUUUGUAUGAUUUAUAUAUUUUUUUUUACUUUGCUGACAGCCAUUGACUUUUUUUAUGUUCCCUUUAAUUCAGAGUCUGAGCUCUGAAUCUAAAGUGUGCAGGGGCAGACUCAACCAAUAAGCGAGCUAAGCAGCUGCUUAGGGCCCCGGGGUAUCAGGGGGCCCAAUCUGAAACAUUGCAGAAACAUAUUUGCAGUGUUGCACAAUGUAGCCAAUCACAGACAUAUCUUUUAAUUUCUUGAACGCAAUGACCAGAAGCGUUUGUUAGAAUCCACUCACUGCUCAAAAUGCAGAAUUUGCUGCGUUCUGCAAGUUAGGGAAUCCUCUCAUUAUAACAAAGUGUAAAUGAUGUAAAAAAGAGAUUAAUUGUGCAGUGUAGAGAGUUUUUAACAGAACGUUGUGAGAUCGCAGUGAACUUAAGUGAUUGACAGCUUUUAGUGAUUAUAUGAGGGAGCAAACUUUACAUGUAUUCUAGGCUGUAUAUUAAUGUCUGACUGUCUCAGAACAGAGAUAUUCACCUGUAAAGAAAAUAUUGUGUUUCAAGUCAUAAUUUUAUUUGUCUUGAUGUUUCAAAAUGACUUUCUUUUGUGCUUUUGCUUGGCACACUGGCCAAGUGUUGUACAGAACACUUUAACUAUGGAAUGAGUUGAAUGGGAUAAUUUCAUGUUUGUAAAAAGACUGAAAAAGUUUACAAUUUAUUCAAUGGACAAGUGCAAGCAUUUUUUUUUAAAUCUUCUUUUGUGAUCUGAAAAGGUAGCCUAAUAUGGAUUUUGAACAGCAUCAGGUUGCACAUAGUUAUUGUGUUGGGGCCCCAUACCUGAAAUUUGUCCAGGGCCCCCAAAUCACUAAGUCUGCACCUGCUAGUGUGCCAUGUUUCCAUUUUAUUUUUAAAAAUAUGGGGUGAAAAUUAAUGCUCUGUGUGAAUAGGCUUUUGGGUGGUACACUGUAACAUUUAGUGCAGAUGACAGGAAUGUUCUCUCAGUUGUUUGUUUACUCAUACUUUUCAAAAGGCAUUUGAAGAACUUCAAGGAAAGUCCACAAGUUGACAGAAUGACCUCAAGCUUUCAAGGAUUUUUUGUGUAUCAUCUUAAUGUAUUUUUUAUAUUCAGGACUGACACAACCAGAGCUUGUGACUAUAUUCCUUCCCCAUCCCCGGAUGGAGGAUUGCAAAAUGGAACCACAGAAGGAGACAUCACUCUAGGAGGAGAUGCAGGAGUAGUAACAGGAGGAGGAGGAGGAGUGACAGGAGGAGUCACAGAGGUUACAUAUCCUAUAGAGCAAGGCAGUGUCAGCAAUGGGGAGCCUCAGAAUGCUGUCUCAAAUGAUAGGUGAGUACAUGUUUGACUACCCAUAAUGUACCAAAACAAGCACUGUCAUGCAUUGAUAUAAAUACAUAGAUGAAAGUGAAGUGACAUACAGCCAAGUAUGGUGACCCAUACUUAGAAUUCGUGCUUUGCAUUUAACCCAUCCAAAGUGCACACACACAGCAGUGAACACACACACACACCGUGAACACAAACCCGGAGCAGUGGGCAGCCAUUUAUGCUGCGGAGCCCGGGGAGCAGUUGGGGUUCGGUGCCUUGCUCAAGGGCACCUCAGUUGUGGUUUUGCCGGCCCGAGAGUCGAACCCACGACCUUAGGGUUAGGAGUCAAACUCUCUAACCACUAGGCCACAACUUGCAUCAUUGCAUCAUUAGCGGCUUUUUC